rnacentral:rRNA from 1 species
GAUGAACGCUGGCGGCGUGCCUAAUACAUGCAAGUCGAGCGAACAGACGAGGAGCUUGCUCCUCUGACGUUAGCGGCGGACGGGUGAGUAACACGUGGAUAACCUACCUAUAAGACUGGGAUAACUUCGGGAAACCGGAGCUAAUACCGGAUAAUAUAUUGAACCGCAUGGUUCAAUAGUGAAAGACGGUUUUGCUGUCACUUAUAGAUGGAUCCGCGCCGCAUUAGCUAGUUGGUAAGGUAACGGCUUACCAAGGCAACGAUGCGUAGCCGACCUGAGAGGGUGAUCGGCCACACUGGAACUGAGACCCGGUCAGACUCCUACGGGAGGCAGCAGUAGGGAAUCUUCCGCAAUGGGCGAAAGCCUGACGGAGCAACGCCGCGUGAGUGAUGAAGGUCUUCGGAUCGUAAAACUCUGUUAUUAGGGAAGAACAAAUGUGUAAGUAACUAUGCACGUCUUGACGGUACCUAAUCAGAAAGCCACGGCUAACUACGUG